GGAGGGGUCGCAUAGUGGUCUAGUGCGGCGGUCCUGAAAACCGCUGUGUCGCAAGGCACCGUGGGUUCGAAUCCCACCCCCUCCG
rnacentral:tRNA from 1 species